UACAAUUACUUAAUGAUUUUAAAUGGGAAGAUGAUUUUAUUUUAGUUACAUGCAACGUCAUGAGCCUAUAUACCUGCAUUAACCAUUUGUUGGGCUGUGAGGCCGCACGUUAUUUUUUAGAGACCUCUGCACUGUAUCCCACGGACCAGGUGGAUUUUAUUAUGGAAGGGAUGUUAUUUAUCCUCCAGAAUAACUUUUUUUGGUUUGAGGGAGAAUAUUACCUACAGUGUAGAGGUACUGCUAUGGGGACCAGGUUCACACCCAACUAUGCAAAUCUUUUUAUGGCAUAUUGGGAAAAUAAGUUUGUUUUCUCUCCACAUG